rnacentral:rRNA from 1 species
GAGUUUGAUCCUGGCUCAGGACGAACGCUGGCGGCGCGCCUAACACAUGCAAGUCGAACGAGCGAGAGAGAGCUUGCUUUCUCGAGCGAGUGGCGAACGGGUGAGUAACGCGUGAGGAACCUGCCUCAAAGAGGGGGACAACAGUUGGAAACGACUGCUAAUACCGCAUAAGCCCACAGCUCGGCAUCGAGCAGAGGGAAAAGGAGCAAUCCGCUUUGAGAUGGCCUCGCGUCCGAUUAGCUAGUUGGUGAGGUAAUGGCCCACCAAGGCGACGAUCGGUAGCCGGACUGAGAGGUUGAACGGCCACAUUGGGACUGAGACACGGCCCAGACUCCUACGGGAGGCAGCAGUGGGGAAUAUUGCACAAUGGGGGAAACCCUGAUGCAGCGACGCCGCGUGGAGGAAGAAGGUCUUCGGAUUGUAAACUCCUGUUGUUGAGGAAGAUAAUGACGGUACUCAACAAGGAAGUGACGGCUAACUACGUGCCAGCAGCCGCGGUAAAACGUAGGUCACAAGCGUUGUCCGGAAUUACUGGGUGUAAAGGGAGCGCAGGCGGGAAGACAAGUUGGAAGUGAAAUCUAUGGGCUCAACCCAUAAACUGCUUUCAAAACUGUUUUUCUUGAGUAGUGCAGAGGUAGGCGGAAUUCCCGGUGUAGCGGUGGAAUGCGUAGAUAUCGGGAGGAACACCAGUGGCGAAGGCGGCCUACUGGGCACCAACUGACGCUGAGGCUCGAAAGUGUGGGUAGCAAACAGGAUUAGAUACCCUGGUAGUCCACACCGUAAACGAUGAUUAUUAGGUGUUGGAGGAUCGACCCCUUCAGUGCCGCAGUUAACACAAUAAGUAAUCCACCUGGGGAGUACGACCGCAAGGUUGAAACUCAAAGGAAUUGACGGGGGCCCGCACAAGCAGUGGAGUAUGUGGUUUAAUUCGACGCAACGCGAAGAACCUUACCAAGUCUUGACAUCCUGCGACGCACAUAGAAAUAUGUGUUUCCUUCGGGACGCAGAGACAGGUGGUGCAUGGCUGUCGUCAGCUCGUGUCGUGAGAUGUUGGGUUAAGUCCCGCAACGAGCGCAACCCUUACUGUCAGUUACUACGCAAGAGGACUCUGGCAGGACUGCCGUUGACAAAACGGAGGAAGGUGGGGAUGACGUCAAAUCAUCAUGCCCUUUAUGACUUGGGCUACACACGUACUACAAUGGCGUUAAACAAAGAGAAGCAAGACCGCGAGGUGGAGCAAAACUCAGAAGCAACGUCCCAGUUCGGACUGCAGGCUGCAACUCGCCUGCACGAAGUCGGAAUUGCUAGUAAUCGUGGAUCAGCAUGCCACGGUGAAUACGUUCCCGGGCCUUGUACACACCGCCCGUC